rnacentral:rRNA from 1 species
UGAGGCACGAAAGCGUGGGGAUAGAACAGGAUUAGAUACCCUGGUAUUCCACGCCGUAAACGAUGAUGGCUAACCGCCGGCGACACACUGUCGGUGGCCAAGCGAAAGCGAUAAGCCAUCCACCUGGGGAGUACGUCGGCAACGAUGAAACUCAAAGGAAUUGACGGGGGCCCGCACAAGCGGAGGAACAUGUGGUUUAAUUCGAUGAUACGCGAGGAACCUUACCCGGGCUUGAAUUGCAGCGGAAGGCUACAGAGAUGUUGACGCCCUUCGGGGCCGCUGUGAAGGUGCUGCAUGGUUGUCGUCAGCUCGUGCCGUGAGGUGUCGGCUUAAGUGCCAUAACGAGCGCAACCCCUCUCCUUAGUUGCCAUCAGGUCAUGCUGGGCACUCUGGGGACACUGCCACCGUAAGGUGUGAGGAAGGUGGGGAUGACGUCAAAUCAGCACGGCCCUUACGUCCGGGGCGACACACGUGUUACAAUGGCGGCCACAGAGGGAGGCUACCCGGCGACGGGAUGCGGAUCUCGAAAAGCCGUCCCAGUUCGGACUGGAGUCUGCAACCCGACUCCACGAAGUUGGAUUCGCUAGUAAUCGCGCAUCAGCCAUGGCGCGGUGAAUACGUUCCCGGGCCUUGUACACACCGCCCGUCAAGCCAUGGAAGCCGCGGGCGCCUGAAGUCCGUGACCGAGAGGAGCGGCCUAGGGCGAAAGUGGUAACUGGGGCUAAGUCGUAACAAGGUAGCCGUACCGGAAGGUGUGGCUG